AACGAACGCUGGCGGCAGGCUUAACACAUGCAAGUCGAACGGGCCCUUCGGGGUCAGUGGCAGACGGGUGAGUAACACGUGGGAACGUACCUUUCAGUUCGGAAUAACCCAGGGAAACUU
rnacentral:rRNA from 1 species